ACGUAGGAGACGAGCGUUAUCCGGAUUUACUGGGUGUAAAGCGCGUGCAGGCGGCCUGGAAAGUUGGAUGUGAAAGCUCCAGGCUUAACUGGGAGAGGUCGUUGAAAACUACCAGGCUGGAGUAAAGGAGAGGGGAGUGGAAUUCCGAGUGGAGCGGUAAAAUGCAUAGAGAUUCGGAAGAGCACCAGUGGCGAAGGCGGCUGCCUGUGCUGAAUCUAACGCUCAUGCGCGAAAGUUUGGGUAGCGAACGG
rnacentral:rRNA from 1 species